UACGAAGCUUAGAGGGGCAAGAGACACAAAAGAGGCGGCUUGUUUCCCAAGCGCACACCUAGAAAACCUACAAACGUGACUGCCAGGACCCCUCGAAAGCCCACCCAAGGCCUGGAGAGCUGGAAGAAUGCGCCCUGAGGAGUGCAGCUUUUGGAAGGGAGUCCAGAGACUAGCCGGUCCAGCCCCCUCAUUUACAGAGGAGGAAACUGAGGCUGAGGGAGAUGAAGAGACCUGCUCCAGGUCAUACAGGGAUCAUCACGACUUCACAGGACCGACGGCGAAAGAUGUCCCUCACCUCUUGGAAAAGAAGUGGUGGACGACAGAUGGAGAAUGAGAAAUACAUCGGCAGACCAGGCCAGUAUCUUGACUUUUUCUUAACCGAAAUCCUUGGUUACAAGAAAGAGAUUGAUUGGAGGGAUAGGAUGGAGGCAGGGGAGUCUUUGAGAAGCAACUUUAAUUGAGAAGAAAAAUAUCAAUAAAAUGAGACACAACGUGGACCCCCUGCAGCCUCUCGCUGUGCCAUGGACAGCCUCCUCUGACAGUGCUGUCCCGAUGGUCUUUGUCCAGACUCCUGCUCGCUCCCCACCCCACCCCCCACUCUGGGGAUUGCUGGGUUGUGUC